rnacentral:rRNA from 1 species
AUUGAACGCUGGCGGCAGGCCUAACACAUGCAAGUCGAGCGGGAACUUCGGUUCUAGCGGCGGACGGGUGAGUAAUGCGUAGGAAGCUACCCGACAGAGGGGGAUACCAGUUGGAAACGACUGUUAAUACCGCAUAAUGUCUACGGACCAAAGUGUGGGACCUUCGGGCCACAUGCUGUCGGAUGCGCCUACGUGGGAUUAGCUAGUUGGUGAGGUAAUGGCUCACCAAGGCGACGAUCCCUAGCUGGUUUGAGAGGAUGAUCAGCCACACUGGAACUGAGACACGGUCCAGACUCCUACGGGAGGCAGCAGUGGGGAAUAUUGGACAAUGGGCGAAAGCCUGAUCCAGCCAUGCCGCGUGUGUGAAGAAGGCCUUCGGGUUGUAAAGCACUUUCAGUAGGGAGGAAGAGUUGAGUGUUAAUAGUACUCAGCUUUGACGUUACCUACAGAAGAAGCACCGGCUAACUCUGUGCCAGCAGCCGCCGUAAUAC